UAUGGGGCGUCCUAAUACAUGCAAGUCGAGCGGACAGAUGGGAGCUUGCUCCCUGAUGUUAGCGGCGGACGGGUGAGUAACACGUGGGUAACCUGCCUGUAAGACUGGGAUAACUCCGGGAAACCGGGGCUAAUACCGGAUGGUUGUUUGAACCGCAUGGUUCAAACAUAAAAGGUGGCUUCGGCUACCACUUACAGAUGGACCCGCGGCGCAUUAGCUAGUUGGUGAGGUAACGGCUCACCAAGGCAACGAUGCGUAGCCGACCUGAGAGGGUGAUCGGCCACACUGGGACUGAGACACGGCCCAGACUCCUACGGGAGGCAGCAGUAGGGAAUCUUCCGCAAUGGACGAAAGUCUGACGGAGCAACGCCGCGUGAGUGAUGAAGGUUUUCGGAUCGUAAAGCUCUGUUGUUAGGGAAGAACAAGUACCGUUCGAAUAGGGCGGUACCUUGACGGUACCUAACCAGAAAGCCACGGCUAACUACGUGCCAGCAGCCGCGGUAAUACGUAGGUGGCAAGCGUUGUCCGGAAUUAUUGGGCGUAAAGGGCUCGCAGGCGGUUUCUUAAGUCUGAUGUGAAAGCCCCCGGCUCAACCGGGGAGGGUCAUUGGAAACUGGGGAACUUGAGUGCAGAAGAGGAGAGUGGAAUUCCACGUGUAGCGGUGAAAUGCGUAGAG
rnacentral:rRNA from 1 species